GAUGAACCUCCUUCGGGAGGGGAUUAGUGGCGAACGGGUGAGUAACACGUGGGCAAUCUGCCCUGCACUCUGGGACAAGCCCUGGAAACGGGGUCUAAUACCGGAUACUGAUCAUCUUGGGCAUCCUUGGUGAUCGAAAGCUCCGGCGGUGCAGGAUGAGCCCGCGGCCUAUCAGCUUGUUGGUGAGGUAAUGGCUCACCAAGGCGACGACGGGUAGCCGGCCUGAGAGGGCGACCGGCCACACUGGGACUGAGACACGGCCCAGACUCCUACGGGAGGCAGCAGUGGGGAAUAUUGCACAAUGGGCGAAAGCCUGAUGCAGCGACGCCGCGUGAGGGAUGACGGCCUUCGGGUUGUAAACCUCUUUCAGCAGGGAAGAAGCGAAAGUGACGGUACCUGCAGAAGAAGCGCCGGCUAACUACGUGCCAGCAGCCGCGGUAAUACGUAGGGCGCGAGCGUUGUCCGGAAUUAUUGGGCGUAAAGAGCUCGUAGGCGGCUUGUCGCGUCGGUUGUGAAAGCCCGGGGCUUAACCCCGGGUCUGCAGUCGAUACGGGCAGGCUAGAGUUCGGUAGGGGAGAUCGGAAUUCCUGGUGUAGCGGUGAAAUGCGCAGAUAUCAGAGGAACACCGGUGGCGAAGGCGGAUCUCUGGGCCGAUACUGACGCUGAGGAGCG
rnacentral:rRNA from 1 species